UACGUAGGGGGCUAGCGUUGUCCGGAUUUAUUGGGCGUAAAGAGCUCGUAGGUGGUUCGGUAAGUCGGGUGUUAAACCCCCAGGCUCAACCUGGGGACGCCACUCGAUACUGCUGUGACUAGAGUCCGGUAGGGGAGCGUGGAAUUCCUGGUGUAGCGGUGAAAUGCGCAGAUAUCAGGAGGAACACCAGCGGCGAAGGCGGCGCUCUGGGCCGGUACUGACACUGAGGAGCGAAAGCGUGGGUAGCAAACAGG
rnacentral:rRNA from 1 species